rnacentral:rRNA from 1 species
AGUGAACGCUGGCGGCAUGCCUUACACAUGCAAGUCGAACGGCAGCACGGGGGGUAACCCCUGGUGGCGAGUGGCGAACGGGUGAGGAAUAUAUCGGAACGUGUCCUGUAGCGGGGGAUAACCUAUCGAAAGAUUGACUCAUACCGCAUACGACCUACGGGCGAAAGCGGAGGACCGCAAGGCUUCGCACUAUAGGAGCGGCCGAUAUCGGAUUAGCUAGUGGGCGGUGGCAGGGCCCACCAAAGCGACGAUCCGUAGCUGGUCUGAGAGGACGAUCAGCCACACUGGAACUGAGACACGGUCGCGACUCCUACGGGAGGCAGCAGUGGGGAAUUUUGGACAAUGGGCGAGAGCCUGAUCCUGCCAUGCCGCGUGAGUGAAGAAGGCCUUCGGGUUGUAAAGCUCUGUCGGCGGGGACGAAACGGUUCGUGCUAAUACCACGGACUACUGACGGUACCCGCAGAAGAAGCACCGGCUAACUACGUG